UACGUAGGGGGCGAGCGUUGUCCGGAGUUACUGGGCGUAAAGGGCGUGCAGGCGGUCCGACACGUUUUGUGUGACAGCGGGUGGCUUAACUACCCGAGGAUACGAAAGACGGUGGGACUUGAGGACUCGAGAGGGACACGGAAUUCCGGGUGGAGUGGUGAAAUGCGUAGAGAUCCGGAGGAACACCAAAGGCGAAGGCAGUGUCCUGGCGAGUGACUGACGCUGAGGUGCGAAAGCCAGGGGAGCGAACGGG
rnacentral:rRNA from 1 species